AGCACUACGAGUACACACGUUAACGGAGCUAGCAGGGACACUCCAUCACCUGCAUAUGUAAAAUUAAAGUAACGAGGAAAAAAAACAAACAAUGUGUCUAACAUUCAUAGCCAUAUAAAUAAACUCGCUGCAAAUUAGUCGUUAAAAAUGCUAAAAACCUCGGAUCUCUCAGGGGGUGGGUGAAAUCGAAUGUUUUCGGGAACGUGUUGUGAAUAACAGAAAUAAAAAUCUCUACCUAUUUAAA
rnacentral:misc_RNA from 1 species